UGGGGAAUCUUGGACAAUGGGCGCAAGCCUGAUCCAGCCAUGCCGCGUGAGUGAUGAAGGCCUUAGGGUUGUAAAGCUCUUUUGCCGGGGACGAUAAUGACGGUACCCGGAGAAUAAGUCCCGGCUAACUUCGUGCCAGCAGCCGCGGUAAUACGUAGGGACCAAGCGUUGUUCGGAUUUACUGGGCGUAAAGGGCGCGUAGGCGGCAUGACAAGUCACUUGUGAAAUCUCUGGGCUUAACCCAGAACGGCCAAGUGAUACUGUCGCGCUAGAGUGCAGAAGGGGCAAUCGGAAUUCUUGGUGUAGCGGUGAAAUGCGUAGAUAUCAAGAGGAACACCUGAGGUGAAGACGGGUUGCUGGGCUGACACUGACGCUGAGGCGCGAAAGCCAGGGGAGCAAACGGGAUUAGAUACCCCCGUAGUCCCUGAGCGGGCUGGCAAGGCGCAU
rnacentral:rRNA from 1 species